CACUUCGUACAACUCGAUUUUCUUUCUACUUUCUCCCUCAUUUUCACGACAUUCUCUCUCCUCAUCUCCAUUGAAGCUUCUUCAUCCAAGCUUCUUCAUCCAAGCUUCUUCCUCCAUUAAAACUUCUCCUUCCUAGCUAUUUUUCAAGUUUUUUUUCAAGUUUCUUCCUCCAUUGAAGCUCGUUUUGAUCUUUGUCUUCUCUAUUUCUCCUUCAAUUGCUAAUUUGGAAAACCCUGAGAAAAUUGAGUUUGUAAACGUACUAAUGGAUCGCUAAGGUUAAAGAAGGGCAACAUUUAUUGGAUGAUGAGCUUCGGCUUCUUUGUAAAUCGGAACAUUUAGAAGAAUCUGUUCAAGGAGCCCCUAACAGUCAUGAAGUGCUGGGAGAUUCGGUAGCUUGGGGAGAAGUAGAGGUCACGGAACUUAUACAAAUGCAUAAAAAUGUUCAGGGCAUCCAGUUGUGACUGCAGAUGACUGGCUAAUGAAGGCUGAUAGCGCAAAUUCAAAGGAAGUCUGACAUAUAGCGAAGAGCAGGGUCUUGUCAGUGGAUGAAAUAACUUGUAAUAGUAUUAUGGUGAUGAUGCAAAAUGUGUCUUAACUAGUUUGUUGUAAUUGUAUAAUACCUUGUGCUAAACUAGUUUGUUGUUAUUGUAUAAUUUAUGGUAUUUUUAUGUACAUUUGAGUUAUUUAAAAGGAACCCUAAUGCUAAACCUGGACAGGUAAAAAUUUGAAAUUGUGAACGAAUAUCACAAUUUAUUUA